AUGUGAUCUGAAUUUUUUUCCAUUAUUAACAGAAAAACUGUCAUGUUCUCAGCAGUUAGAAUCUCAUUAGCUUUAGACUCUAUUGGGUUUAAUCCUGAUUUCUCACCCAGUAGCAUUCUACUAAGUAGCUCAAGUCAAUUAGAAUGCAAACUACAAAGAACAUCUAACAUUAUAGAGAUUAUAUCAAGAAGUUAGAAUGAGCCAACAGAAUUAACACAAGGUAACUUCCAGUGCAGUGAGGAGGGAAUACACCAUUAGCAUUUCAAGACUAAACCGAAGUCCUGGAUUAAAAAAGUUCCUGUAUAACAUGGAAUAGCAAAGUGAUUUCUCCACAGUUCCUUGUUGUGCCAUUAGAACUUUGUGCUGUUGUGGUAACAUUGUGCUAUCAUGGUUAUGCCAAAAUCAUGUCAAUCCAAAUUUCUGGCAAAUGUGAUUGCGGUGGCAAUAUCAGACAAAAAUUGCCAAUACUAGGCUGUUAUAUAAAUUUAAAAAUGAUAAGAUUGUGGAGGGUAUUUAGGAUUGCGCGUGCGUGUGUGUGGGAAGGGACACAGGGAGAACAAAGUGUGGUGCUUGGGGAAGUGACUGAAAGGACAGAUCCAGAAACAGGCACCUCGUGCUGCCCAGCACUGCUUCGUCCAGCACGUACUGAUUUGUGAGAAGCCCCAGACAAACUAGUACUUGUGCACUUCCCGCUUUGGCCUCUCAGUAAAGAACAUCCAAAACCAGCCCGUAAAUAAAUCCGCAGUCACAGAAUUGCCCUGGAAAUUGGACUGUCAGACAGAAGGUAGCGUGUAAUAAAACACCAAGGAGCCUGUUGCAAUUCUGGAGCAAAACCUGCUGAAGUGAAGAUGAUCCCUUUGCUUCCUCUGCCUAUCCUCAGCCUGCUUCCACAUGCUGGUUGUUGCAUUUUACCCCAGAAGAACAUGGGCAUUGCAAGCAUAAGGUUGAGUAUGAACACACUUAAGGAACUUUUUAAGCUGCUAAAUUUUCCACUACAGGAAUUUAAGUUUGCAAUUCACUUAAACACUUCCAAAAAGUGUCACUGUAUGCAUUUUAGGUAGACAAAAUAUGCUUCACAACAAAAUAAAAGGUCUGCCUAGAUGUGGAAUUCUGUUUGAAUUCUAGUGUUAGCCUUAACACCAAAUAAACACUAUUAUGAAAGGCUGGUCUUAUAUUUGUUUCAACCUUUGCCCCAAAAUAAGCAACAUCAGCACUUUAUGAGGACUACAAAAAAAUAAAAUUAUUCUGGAAGU